rnacentral:lncRNA from 1 species
AGAAGCUGAUUAGUCCAAUAUAGUAGCUAUGGCAAGAAUUGUGAAGCAUUUGAGGCUGUGAAGGAAGCUAUGGAAUAGGUUCACAACUUAUACAGUAACAGAGCAACUCCUGGGGACAUCGACUUGUGUGGCCAAGUUUGUUCAUGAAGAAGAUACAUCAGAUGAGGUACUAUUUAGCAACUCAAACUAGCAUUGUCCAUCGAUCCUUUAGUUGUAAUUUAUUUAAGGGUAGACUAAAAAGUGACCUACUUUUACAGC